GACGGAGGGUGCUAGCGUUGUUCGGAAUGACUGGGCGUAAAGGGCGUGUAGGCGGCUCGUGAAGUCGGGUGUGAAAGCCCGGGGCUCAACCCCGGAACGGCAUCCGAUACUGGCGGGCUUGAGACCGGGAGAGGAGGGUGGAAUACCCAGUGUAGAGGUGAAAUUCGUAGAUAUUGGGUGGAACACCGGUGGCGAAAGCGGCUCUCUGGCCCGGAUCUGACGCUGAGGCGCGAAAGCGUGGGGAGCAAACAGG
rnacentral:rRNA from 1 species